rnacentral:rRNA from 1 species
CGUGUAGGCGGCCUUUUAAGUUCGAUGUGAAAGCCCGGGGCUCACCCCCGGAAGUGCAUUGGAUACUGGGAGGCUGGAGUACCGGAGAGGAGGGUGGAAUUCCUGGUGUAGCGGUGAAAUGCGUAGAUAUCAGGAGGAACACCGGUGGCGAAGGCGGCCCUCUGGACGGAUACUGACGCUGAGACGCGACAGCGUGGGGAGCAAACA